AGGAUGAACGCUGGCGGCGUGCCUAACACAUGCAAGUCGAACGUCCUGUCUCGCAAGAGGCAGGGAGUGGCGGACGGGUGAGUACCACGUGGGUCAUCUACCGUGAGGUGAGGAAUACCGGCGAGAAAUCGCCGACAAGACCGCAUAGGCUCGAUGCAAGUCGAGCAAAGCUCUUUCGAGAGAGGGAGCGCCACACGAGGAGCCUGCGCCCGAUUAGCUAGCUGGUGGAGUAACGGUUCACCAGGGCGACGAUCGGUAGCUGGUCUGAGAGGACGAUCAGCCACACUGGGAUUGAGAACGGCCCAGACUCCUACGGGGGGCAGCAGUGAGGAAUUUUCGUCAAUGGGGGCAACCCUGAACGAGCAACGCCGCGUGCAGGAGAAGGUUUUCGGAUCGUAAACUGCUUUUCUCGGGGAAGAGAACGGACGGUACCCGAGGAAUCAGCCCCGGCUAACUACGUGCCAGCAGCCGCGGU
rnacentral:rRNA from 1 species